GUUCAAAUUUGAAUCAGUUCUAUAGGAAACAUGUUAAAAUCGAUACCAUCGAGGGUUUAAAGACUGCUUCAAGUACGUACAGCAUAAAUUUUUAAAAUGAUAGGAUGUGUUUUACUUGCCAAGAUUGCAGCAUGCUUGGGACUUCUUUGUCUUACUUCAGUUUUCCUGUCGCUCUGGGUAUUUUGGAUGCUUAAUAGACACUUGCAAGAAAACUGUCAUCAAAUGGACUCAAAAAAUUUUAGCUGGAAGUUGAUAAUUAACUGUGAGUAUCCAGGAAAAGUGCUGGAGUGCAGUAAGUGGGCAAAUGUUGGCUCAGAGCAGAAUGGCCUAUUCUGCCUUUUCUAGAAGCAGAACUAAGUAAGGCAUAAAGAUGCAAUAAUUCAUAUCAACACUGUAUUAUAAAUAACACUUUAUUAACAGAUAGUGUUAGUAUUCCUAUUUUUGGGAUAAUCUGUUCUUGCCUUUGGUAGACCCGUGUUCAUGUUUGGCUAGAUACAUGUUUCUUAACUUGUUUAGUUUCUUAACUUGUGUGGAGCAUAUAUUCUUGCAUAUGGAUGGCAUAUUCCUUCCUCUUCUUGUCAGUUAUUACUGUUUCAUUUUUAUUUAUGUUCCCCUCAGUUUUUUCUCUGGAUCAUAGGAAUGGUGACAAUGGCCGCUAUUAUAGAAAAAAAAAUCACGUAUCUUUUUCUCCAACCAUUCACGAUAAAGAUUCUGUACAUGGAAAAGCUGAAGCAGAGCAAUAUGUUCCAGUACAGAUACGAGUGGAUGAUUGCAACAAACAAUGCCAGGACUGGGGAGAUCCACUUGGAACCUUAUUGUGCUACUUGUAAGAGGCUCUAUUUCACUCCUAUUCUUUCGAGAGUGCAAGCUGCAGUCAAACUGAUGGACCUCUUAAAAGUUAAAUACCAAGCUGUUGCUGCUUUAUGUGCUACGAGCAGAUGUUAAGGCAGGGAGUGGACAACUGUACACUUUUGAAAGAUCCAGUACUGAGUCGCUACCUUAGAUGAGAUACUGAGCAACACGGUGAAAUUUAGAAUAUUCAUCAAACUUGAACUUCUUGGAGUAUUCUGGAUAGCAGCAGUAAUCUGUUCUUCAGUUUAAAAGUGCUCUGGGCUUUCUUGUCAGCCUGCUGUGUGUUGUCUCUUCUAGGUAUCAAAAUUUAAGUAUUGCUGGUGCAUCUGUCAGCAGCAUGGGGAAAAUAAUUUUGUUUCAUUACAAAAAUCUCAGCGUGUACUUGUAACAGAAUGCACAUCUGUUUCUGUAGUCCUUUUUUCCAGCAAGGUGUGCACAAAAUCAUAUGAUCAUAUUAGUUUCAGGCUGCAUUUCUGUUUUUAUAGCCCAGUGUGAUGUUUUCUCAGUUUAUGUUUCACAGUAGCUCCUAGAUUCCCCUCUUCCUCCCUGUAUCUGUUGCCUAGCCAACUUCCAAUGCAGUGUUACACCUCAGGAGGAAAAAAUCAGCUGUGGAAGAUUUGAUAUUUGUUUAUACUGAUUUGCCUGCUACUGUUUGCAGAUAAUACUUUGUUUGGGUUGCUGUUUUUCUCGAUAUAUGAGCUUGUCCCUUGAUAUCUUUGUUGUUCAGUGCCUUUUGUGGACUACUUAACCAUGCUGUAUGCUAGGAAACUGUUCCUACUUUUCCAUUCCUUGCAAAAUUGCAAAGGGCAGGUUAGGUUCCAAAAGAUGUCUUCAACCAAAAAUUCUGUGAUUUGAUUACCAAACUUUGCCAUUUUUGAAAACUCUGGCUUCUGUAUUACUUUCUAACCCUUUAUUUUAUUUUUAUUUUUUUAAGACUGUGCUUUUAUUUCUUACUGGUUUUAAAUGAAGUCAUCCACCAGAUUGCCAUCUAUUUUAAUAAGCGUGCAAUAAAGACACUGUAACGUUCUA